UCUCCACCUUCAUCAACGGCGUGCCUGCUCUUCCUGGUGGGUCCACCCCUGGAGACCUCGUGGGUCCUUUCUUGACUUGAAACUCGAGGACCCAACAAGGAUGAAAAAGUGAUUUGAUCCAGGGAUGAUCUGGAUGGCAAACAGGUUAAGAGGAACAAGAAUAUCAUCUGUUGAAGAGUGCGUGCUCUAGGUUUCCUUAUGUAUUAUGUUAUCUGUAUGGUAUCCAGUUAUGUUAUGCGAUGCGGCAAUGGAGGUUAGGGUUCUAUACUCUCUUGUAUUAUAUGAACUCCCUCACGACAUAAAACAGAGGCAGCCAGCCAAGAUUAUACAUACAGAUUUUCAUGGUAUCGCUUGAUAUUUUCCUCAA